rnacentral:rRNA from 1 species
UACGAAGGGGGGCUAGCGUUGCUCGGAAUCACUGGGCGUAAAGCGCACGUAGGCGGCUUUGUAAGUUAGAGGUGAAAGCCUGGAGCUCAACUCCAGAAUUGCCUUUAAGACUGCAUCGCUUGAAUCCAGGAGAGGUGAGUGGAAUUCCGAGUGUAGAGGUGAAAUUCGUAGAUAUUCGCAAGAACACCAGUGGCGAAGGCGGCUCACUGGCCCGAUACUGACGCUGAGGCACGAAAGCGUGGGGAGCAAACAGG